rnacentral:lncRNA from 1 species
UAAUAAAAUGGAAGCAGAAAGAUGAAGCAGAGACGUUCCAGAUGUUCCAGGUGCUGGGAACAGGGCUGGUUGUGCCCUGAGAAAUCACAGCAAGCUCUCCUCUCUCUGGAUGUCAGCUUCCGCUUGUUUCGAAGGAGGAGAGAGGUUACCUGCAGACUCCUCCCGUGGGUUCACAGGACGGUACCAAGUCAUUCAUGAGGGACCUGCCUCCAAGACUCAAACACCUCCCACCAGGUUCUACCUCCACCACUGGGGAUCACAUUUCAACAUGAGAUUUGGAGGGGACAAACAUCCCAACUAUAUCACCUGCCAAGAGACCUCUCGGAUGCCUCCAUUUGGGAGAAAACUGAAUAUGUCAAAGGGCACCAGAUCUGGGAACCAAAGGGGAGGUGAGAACACUUGGGACCUCUUUAUUUUUGUUGUCAGUAUAAAAUCAGGACUGUCUGGCUCUGAGGUUUAA